rnacentral:rRNA from 1 species
AGAGUUUGAUCCUGGCUCAGGACGAACGCUGGCGGCGUGCUUAACACAUGCAAGUCGAACGAAAAGACGGAAAGAGCUUGCUCUUUUCAGAAUUGAGUGGCAAACGGGUGAGUAACACGUAAACAACCUGCCUUCAGGAUGGGGACAACAGACGGAAACGACUGCUAAUACCGAAUAAGUUCCAAGAGCCGCAUGGCCCAUGGAAGAAAAGGUGGCCUCUACCUGUAAGCUAUCGCCUGAAGAGGGGUUUGCGUCUGAUUAGCUGGUUGGAGGGGUAACGGCCCACCAAGGCGACGAUCAGUAGCCGGUCUGAGAGGAUGAACGGCCACACUGGAACUGAGACACGGUCCAGACUCCUACGGGAGGCAGCAGUGGGGAAUCUUCCGCAAUGGGCGAAAGCCUGACGGAGCAACGCCGCGUGAGUGAUGACGGCCUUCGGGUUGUAAAACUCUGUGAUCCGGGACGAAAAGGCAGAGUGCGAAGAACAAACUGCAUUGACGGUACCGGAAAAGCAAGCCACGGCUAACUACGUGCCAGCAGCCGCGGUAAUACGUAGGUGGCAAGCGUUGUCCGGAUUUAUUGGGCGUAAAGCGAGUGCAGGCGGUUCAAUAAGUCUGAUGUGAAAGCCUUCGGCUCAACCGGAGAAUUGCAUCAGAAACUGUUGAACUUGAGUGCAGAAGAGGAGAGUGGAACUCCAUGUGUAGCGGUGGAAUGCGUAGAUAUAUGGAAGAACACCAGUGGCGAAGGCGGCUCUCUGGUCUGCAACUGACGCUGAGGCUCGAAAGCAUGGGUAGCGAACAGGAUUAGAUACCCUGGUAGUCCAUGCCGUAAACGAUGAGUGCUAAGUGUUGGGAGGUUUCCGCCUCUCAGUGCUGCAGCUAACGCAUUAAGCACUCCGCCUGGGGAGUACGACCGCAAGGUUGAAACUCAAAGGAAUUGACGGGGGCCCGCACAAGCGGUGGAGCAUGUGGUUUAA